CUAAAGUAGAUCUACAGCAGAGCCAGGCAGCAUCCCCGUCCUCCAGAGUAAAGCCGAAGCAGAAGUUCUCAUUUUUAAAGGAGAACGUCGGAGUGGAGAGCAGACGGUCGGCCGCGCGUCUCCCAAUUACAGGGAAGUGUUUGCAAAGAGGGGCUGGGAUCCACUGCUGCCGAAUACACAAACAUUCAGCCUUCAACGCACUUGUCCAUUAAGGCGGCUUCCGUUGGAGAGAUUGGCCCCUUCGCCUGUGCGACGGAGUCUUCAUGUGACACGAUGAUGCUUCGUGCCGUUUGGGAAACUCACAACUGAACGUUUAAAGUGAGAUAAUUGCCUCUACAAGCUAAACGACAACGUUAAAUAUUGAAAAAACAAGGAAAGAGCCCCAGAUUCAGCACCCUGGACAGCGGUCGAGUCUUCUGGGAAAAUGAGAUUUCAAGUGCUUUGCUGGAUAAAGGGCCACUCAGAAAAAAUAAAUGAAAGAAAACAUGAAGAAUGGCUGUUUUAGCUUUUAGGAGGGAAGAAAACCUGCUAAUGGAACAAGUGAACACCUCUUGGGGAGAUUUCUUGAAAUAAGAUGUUAUUUCAAAGCUGGUUCCAACUUUUAAAGUUUGGGUUGUAUUGUGACAGAAAAAGCGUAUUAAGCUCAAUCGAUGUCACUUGAUGAGUGUGUGCUCUCUUAAUGUCGUGACCUUAUUGGGAG
ensembl:lncRNA